rnacentral:misc_RNA from 1 species
AGGACUACUGGGGUUUCUAAUCCCUUUCGCUCCCCUGGCUUUCGUCCAUGAGCGUCAGUAAUGGCCCAGCAGAGCGCCUUCGCCACUGGUGUUCUUCCCGAUAUCUACGCAUUUCACCGCUACACCGGGAAUUCCCUCUGCCCCUACCAUACUCAAGCCUUUCAGUUUCCACUGCCAUGAUGGAGUUAAGCUCCACGCUUUAACAGCAGACUUGAAAAGCCGCCUGCGGACGCUUUACGCCCAAUAAUUCCGGAUAACGCUUGCCACUCCCGUAUUACCGCGGCUGCUGGCACGGAAUUAGCCGUGGCUUAUUCCUCAAGUACCGUCAUAUCUUCUUCCUUGAGAAAAGAGGUUUACAGCCCAGAGGCCUUCGUCCCUCACGCGGCGUUGCUCCGUCAGG